UACGUAGGGUGCAAGCGUUAAUCGGAAUUACUGGGCGUAAAGCGUGCGCAGGCGGUUAUGUAAGACAGUUGUGAAAUCCCCGGGCUCAACCUGGGAACUGCAUCUGUGACUGCAUCGCUGGAGUGCGGCAGAGGGGGAUGGAAUUCCGCGUGUAGCAGUGAAAUGCGUAGAUAUGCGGAGGAACACCGAUGGCGAAGGCAAUCCCCUGGGCCUGCACUGACGCUGAGGAGCGAAAGCCAGGGGAGCAAACGGG
rnacentral:rRNA from 1 species